rnacentral:lncRNA from 1 species
GUUCCAGCUCCUCUGAUGCUCUGGGUGAGUUCUGCUGUGUCUAUUCUGACUGCUAGCUGGUGAUGUGCUGGGCAGCUCCUACCUGUUCACGAGAGCUGAUCCUUGGCCUCUCUUUCCAACUCCAUGCUCAGUGACCAUCAUGUUGGUAACUUGAAAUCAGCCAUAUUGGGACUAUUUACACCACAGAAAUCAGCAAACAAUACAAUAGGGCUCUUGCCUCUGGAGAGUCUCUUGUUCGACAUUUACAUGCAUGGUAGUGGGGACCCUUCAUUCUUUCUGCAACUCCUCUGGGCCUGAUCAUCUGACCUGAAGACUCAAGUGUAGCCCUUUCAAGGGAAGACCUCAGAAGUUUUCUUAUGUACACAGACUGGCCUUGCAUUUCAGAGAGAAUACAGCUAAAUCCAUGCCAAAGUCUACAGAACAACUCUCAACUUAGCUAUGGAAACAGAACACCAGGAAACAAAAAAGUCUAAAAGUAUACAUUAAUCUCAGGACUAACCCCACCACUAAUGACAUCUGCUCAGCACAGCCAAAGCAUUUUCUUUCUGCCAAGCUCCCUCCUGGUGAUGCUGGCUCCAGGGGCCAAGGCCUUCACCUGAGCUCUCUGAUGCAAAUCUUCCAGACCCUAAAUAACUGUGCCCUUCAUGCCACUCUUUGAAUGUUUCUGGCUUGGAAACACUGCUGUCCCAUAGCAAGGAGAGCCUGGAAGAAAAUGAGUCCCUUACAGGGACAAAAGGAAGUAUUUUGAGUGCUCAAAUCCUGUUCCAAUUUGUGUCCCUCUGAAGCCUGAGGAACUACCCUGCCCCUCGGUGGCAUGCAGUUCAGAUUUGCUGGACUUAGGACCACAUUUGUGGUUUACAAUGGCUGCUUAGUGCUGCUCCACACUUGCCUUUAUAUCCCUCUGAAGAAGGACUCAUUAAGCUACUAUACAGAUUGCUCACACUUGGCGGAUCACGUCCCUAAGAUGCCUAGACACCCAGGGUUCUGUGUUGGACACCAUGAAGAAUACAGCAGUGGAUAACACAGCCUUGCCCUUGGGAUUUCACAGGCAGUCCAAGAACAAUGCCAUGAGAGCCUCACAGAGGCUCAUGUAAAAGCAUCCGAGCAUCUUGUAAAAGCAGAGAAGGGAGAGACUUCUUCCCUAUGGGGAAGAGAAGAGAGUCUUCAGGGAAGAGGGAGCCCUGGAGGAGGUCACGAAUGAUAAGAAGAGUUUUGUGUUCUCUACCCUGAGGAAGUCCCUCCUCCACUUCUGAAAAGCCCAGGUUCUACUUCGACCUCACCAGUGUUACAGGACGGCAGGGUGGGGGAGGGCUGUAGAAUGGGGAAGAGUCUGUACACCUGCUAUGUAUGGCUGUUGGUGGGUUUUUCUUUGUGCCUUUUUUUUCCUGUUUGUUUAAUGCAUAUUUUUUCCUCCUGCCUUCAGGACACAGUGACCUAUAUUUCAGUUUUGGCAAGGGACAAUGCCAGAGUGUGGGAAGGAAGAGCCCUGGGAAGAGAUAGUUAAACUUUGGCAGGCUAAUGUUUGAUGCUGCUUCAUUGCCUUCUUACUUUUAAAUAUAAGAACCACACCAUCCAGAGAAGGAACAAAGACAGGUGACCUCUCAAGACCCUUUUCCACUACUGUGACUCUGAAGUGCCCAGGAAUAUAUUUUUUUAAAUGCAUGUAAACACUAGAUGCAUAGGACCCCUUGAGCGUUCCUAAAAUAUGUCUUGGACCCUCUUACUGCUCUGCUUAACAGCUUCAAUGAGUAUCUCCUAUCUAGAGAAUAAAACUUCAAAUUCCUCAUGGUGGCA